rnacentral:rRNA from 1 species
GACAAACGCUGGCGGCGUGCUUAACACAUGCAAGUCGAACGGUAAGGCCCUUCGGGGUACACGAGUGGCGAACGGGUGAGUAACACGUGGGUGAUCUGCCCUGCACUUCGGGAUAAGCCUGGGAAACUGGGUCUAAUACCGGAUAGGACCACUGCCUGCAUGGGUGGUGGUGGAUAGCUUUUCCGGUGUGGGAUGGGUCCGCGGCCUAUCAGCUUGGUGGUGGGGUGAUGGCCUACCAAGGCGACGACGGGUAGCCGGCCUGAGAGGGUGACCGGCCACACUGGGACUGAGAUACGGCCCAGACUCCUACGGGAGGCAGCAGUGGGGAAUAUUGCACAAUGGGCGCAAGCCUGAUGCAGCGACGCCGCGUGAGGGAUGACGGCCUUCGGGUUGUAAACCUCUUUCAGCACCGACGAAGCGCAAGUGACGGUAGGUGCAGAAGAAGGACCGGCCAACUACGUGCCAGCCGCCGCCGUAA